AUGGGCCCUGCCGGUCUCUACCGUCUCUUGUUCAUCGUGCUUGCAGCUGCAGCACCAUUGCUCUCUGCGUCGCAGCGUUUCGACUACCCCGCAGCAAACCUCUCGACGCUGUGGAUCAAUAACAAAGCUUUCCUCCCACACAGCGUCAGCUACUCCGACGGUUCAGCCGUGCGGGCCAUUGUCCUCCGUUCACCCAAAACCUUCUAUGGCCCCUCCUUCGCCGCAGGAUUCGUCUGCGCCUCCCCCUGCGACGUGUUCCUCUUCGCUGUCUUCAUUGUCUACACCAAUAGUGGUGCCAAGAUCACCAUGCCGACUACUGGGACUCCACAGGUGGUCUGGUCUGCCAACCGGGCUCGCCCCGUCAGAGAAAACGCGACCCUUGAGCUUUCCGAUGGAAACUUGGUCCUCCGUGAUGCUGAUGCUAGCCUGGUCUGGUCGAGCAGAAGCUCUGGGCGGUCUGUAGCAGGCAUGAUGAUCACCGAGAUUGGUAAUUUGGUGUUGUUUGAUCAGAAAAAUGCAACAGUGUGGCAGUCAUUUUCUCACCCUACUGAUGCAUUGGUCCCUGGGCAGUCACUUCUGGAAGGUAUGAGGCUCGUAGCAAGUACGUCUGCAACAAAUUGGACAGAGAAUCAGUUGUACAUGACAGUUCAAACUGAUGGAUUGUAUGCUUAUGUCGGAUCCACAUCACCACAACUCUAUUUUUCGAAAUCGGUGAACAAAAACAAGACAGGAAAAGAUCCAACAAAGGUUACCUUCACGAAUGGCAGCCUCAGCAUCUCUGUGCAGUCCAAGCAAUCAGAUGAAUCAGACACGAGUAUCCAAUUACCAGCAGCUAACUCCACCCAGUACAUGAGAUUGGAGUCAGACGGGCACCUGAGGCUUAAUUCUAGUUCAAGCUACUUCAAGCCGGUCGAUGAGCGGAAGCCAAAUCUUGGCUGUGCAUCACUGACUCCAAUCUCUUGUCAGGAAAUGCAACACCAUCAGUUGUUGACUCUUACAGACGUUUCUUAUUUUGAUGCCAGCCACAUCGUUGCGAAUGCAACAAACGGAGAAGACUGUAAGCAAGCUUGCUUGAAGAACUGCUCCUGCAGGGCCGUGAUGUUCAGGUAUGGCCAGAAUGAUUCCGCUGGAACGUGUAUGUGGGUGACCAGGGUCUUCUCCUUGCAAUCAAUACAACCUGAAAUUGUUCACUACAACUCCUCUGCUUACCUCAAGGUGCAGCUUAGCCCCUCAACUUCUGCCUCUAAUGCAAACAAAAGGAAGGUGAUGUUAGGUGCUACACUUGGAGCUACUACUAUUCUUGUACUGCUAGUCAUUGCUGUCAUUCUUUAUGUGCGAAGGAAAAAGUACCAAGAGUUAGAUGAUGAAUUAGAUUUUGACCAAAUUCCUGGAAUGACAGUGAGGUACACGUUCGAAAACUUGAGAGAAUGCACUGGAGACUUUAGUAAAAAGCUCGGAGGUGGUGGGUUUGGAACAGUUUUUGAAGGGAAAAUAGAUGAAGAGAGAGUUGCAGUAAAACUUUGUGAAGGUGCUAGACAAGGAAAGAAAGAAUUCUUGGCUGAAGUCGAUACUAUUGGCAGCAUUGAACACAUCAAUCUUGUUAGACUGAUCGGCUUUUGUGCAGAGAAAUCUGAAAGACUUUUAGUAUAUGAAUAUGUACAGAGAGGGUCACUUGAUAGGUGGAUCUACUACCGCCAUAACAAUGCCCCUCUUGAUUGGUGCACCCGGCACAUGAUCAUUCUAGAUAUUGCCAAAGGCCUAUGCUAUCUCCACGAGGGGUGCAGGCGAAUAAUUGCUCAUUUGGACAUCAAACCACAAAAUACUCUCUUAUAUGAGAAUUUCAACGCCAAAUUGGCUGAUUUUGGACUAUCUAAGCUAAUGGACAGGGACCAAAGCAAAGUAAUGACAAUGAUGAGGGGCACACCUGGGUAUCUGGCACCUGAAUGGUUAACGUCCCAAAUCACUGAAAAAGUUGAUGUCUACAGCUUUGGAGUUGUUGUCAUGGAAGUAAUUUGUGGAAGAAAAAAUAUUGACAUAUCUCUUCCCGAGGAGAGUGUUCAGCUCAUCAAAUUGAUACAGAAAAAGGCUGAAGAUAAUCAGUUUAUCGAUUUGAUUGAAAACCAUAGUGAGGACAUGGUCUUACACCAAGAGGAAGCAGUUCAAUUGUUGAAGCUUGCAAUGUGGUGCCUGCAAAAUGAUAGCAGUAGAAGGCCUUCAAUGUCAUCGGUGGUCAAGGUACUGGAAGGUUCAAUGAAUAUAGAAACUAACAUUGAUUGCAACCUUAUGAAUGCAAAUCCAGUACAUAAUCAAUCAACAUAUUCAGUUCCACCUGAAGCAUCGAUUUUAUCUGGCCCAAGGUGA
rnacentral:rRNA from 1 species